UACGUAGGGUGCGAGCGUUGUCCGGAAUUAUUGGGCGUAAAGGGCUCGUAGGCGGUUUGUCGCGUCGGGAGUGAAAACCCAGGGCUUAACCCUGGGCUGGCUUCCGAUACGGGCAGACUAGAGGUAUGCAGGGGAGAACGGAAUUCCUGGUGUAGCGGUGAAAUGCGCAGAUAUCAGGAGGAACACCGGUGGCGAAGGCGGUUCUCUGGGCAGUAACUGACGCUGAGGCACGAAAGCGUGGGGAGCAAACAGG
rnacentral:rRNA from 1 species